GGGGACGGCCAUAGCUCAGUAGUAAAGCACCUGUUUUGCAUGCAGAAGGUCCCAGUUUCAAUCCCUGGCAUCUCCA